GACACGUGGUAUCCUGUCUGAAUAUGGGGGGACCAUCCUCCAAGGCUAAAUACUCCUGACUGACCGAUAGUGAACCAGUACCGUGAGGGAAAGGCGAAAAGAACCCCGGCGAGGGGAGUGAAAAAGAACCUGAAACCGUGUACGUACAAGCAGUGGGAGCACAGAGCAAUCUGUGUGACUGCGUACCUUUUGUAUAAUGGGUCAGCGACUUAUAUUCUGUAGCAAGGUUAACCGAAUAGGGGAGCCGAAGGGAAACCGAGUCUUAACUGGGCGUUAAGUUGCAGGGUAUAGACCCGAAACCCGGUGAUCUAGCCAUGGGCAGGUUGAAGGUUGGGUAACACUAACUGGAGGACCGAACCGACUAAUGUUGAAAAAUUAGCGGAUGACUUGUGGCUGGGGGUGAAAGGCCAAUCAAACCGGGAGAUAGCUGGUUCUCCCCGAAAGCUAUUUAGGUAGCGCCUCGUGAAUUCAUCUCCGGGGGUAGAGCACUGUUUCGGCAAGGGGGUCAUCCCGACUUACCAACCCGAUGCAAACUGCGAAUACCGGAGAAUGUUAUCACGGGAGACACACGGCGGGUGCUAACGUCCGUCGUGAAGAGGGAAACAACCCAGACCGCCAGCUAAGGUCCCAAAGUCAUGGUUAAGUGGGAAACGAUGUGGGAAGGCCCAGACAGCCAGGAUGUUGGCUUAGAAGCAGCCAUCAUUUAAAGAAAGCGUAAUAGCUCACUGGUCGAGUCGGCCUGCGCGGAAGAUGUAACGGGGCUAAACCAUGCACCGAAGCUGCGGCAGCGACGCUUAUGCGUUGUUGGGUAGGGGAGCGUUCUGUAAGCCUGCGAAGGUGUGCUGUGAGGCAUGCUGGAGGUAUCAGAAGUGCGAAUGCUGACAUAAGUAACGAUAAAGCGGGUGAAAAGCCCGCUCGCCGGAAGACCAAGGGUUCCUGUCCAACGUUAAUCGGGGCAGGGUGAGUCGACCCCUAAGGCGAGGCCGAAAGGCGUAGUCGAUGGGAAACAGGUUAAUAUUCCUGUACUUGGUGUUACUGCGAAGGGGGGACGGAGAAGGCUAUGUUGGCCGGGCGACGGUUGUCCCGGUUUAAGCGUGUAGGCUGGUUUUCCAGGCAAAUCCGGAAAAUCAAGGCUGAGGCGUGAUGACGAGGCACUACGGUGCUGAAGCAACAAAUGCCCUGCUUCCAGGAAAAGCCUCUAAGCAUCAGGUAACAUCAAAUCGUACCCCAAACCGACACAGGUGGUCAGGUAGAGAAUACCAAGGCGCUUGAGAGAACUCGGGUGAAGGAACUAGGCAAAAUGGUGCCGUAACUUCGGGAGAAGGCACGCUGAUAUGUAGGUGAAGCGACUUGCUCGUGGAGCUGAAAUCAGUCGAAGAUACCAGCUGGCUGCAACUGUUUAUUAAAAACACAGCACUGUGCAAACACGAAAGUGGACGUAUACGGUGUGACGCCUGCCCGGUGCCGGAAGGUUAAUUGAUGGGGUCAGCGCAAGCGAAGCUCUUGAUCGAAGCCCCGGUAAACGGCGGCCGUAACUAUAACGGUCCUAAGGUAGCGAAAUUCCUUGUCGGGUAAGUUCCGACCUGCACGAAUGGCGUAAUGAUGGCCAGGCUGUCUCCACCCGAGACUCAGUGAAAUUGAACUCGCUGUGAAGAUGCAGUGUACCCGCGGCAAGACGGAAAGACCCCGUGAACCUUUACUAUAGCUUGACACUGAACAUUGAGCCUUGAUGUGUAGGAUAGGUGGGAGGCUUUGAAGUGUGGACGCCAGUCUGCAUGGAGCCGACCUUGAAAUACCACCCUUUAAUGUUUGAUGUUCUAACGUGGACCC
rnacentral:rRNA from 1 species